rfam:Thermoactinomyces vulgaris strain NRRL F-5595 F5595contig1.1, whole genome shotgun sequence.
AAUGUACUACUGAAGAGUGGCGCAGUAUUCUAGUCAGCCCGCCACCUCUGAAGGCGGGCCUAAAAAUCCGCUAAAGGGCACAUCGAUGAAGUUCUUGGUGUUGGCUUGUGGCGCCCAGCUAUGGGCUGAUGCUGAGAGUUAAGGUUGAAGGGCGAUCCGCAAUGGCAUGCGGGCGUUGACCCUUCUUCCGCGGAGGCCCAAUGUUCGUCGUGUACGCUCUCAUGCGGGAACGACGGCUUGGGGUAUGAACCUGCAUCUCGGGAUCAACUGGGUGUAGCGUAGCCUGCCUUGAGUGGCAGGGUGGGGAUACCGUUCUCCGCUUCAAAGCGGAUCGCGGUUGAAAGCUCUGUUGCAAAAGAGGCUAGGAGACUGGAACGGGCUGUUGAGGAAAACUCCUAGACUGUUUGCCGAAAAAGGCAUGGCCAUCUAGGGAUUAAAGUGCGGACUGAGUGGCAGUCCAGUCCGGCAUUCGGUGACGGUGCCGAGAGGGGUUGUAAAGGGAAACCGCCAGAUCGGCGACGAUCGGGAUACCCCUUUGGGAAAGCCUACUGGACCUAAGCCGCAGAGUUUACCUAGGUUGUCGCCACUCUUCUCACAUAUAGG